UACGAAGGGGGCUAGCGUUGCUCGGAAUCACUGGGCGUAAAGCGCACGUAGGCGGCUUUCUAAGUCAGGGGCUGAAAUCCUGGAGCUCAACUCCAGAACUGCCUUUGAUACUGGAAAGCUUGAGUUCGGGAGAGGUGAGUGGAACUGCGAGUGUAGAGGUGAAAUUCGUAGAUAUUCGCAAGAACACCAGUGGCGAAGGCGGCUCACUGGCCCGACACUGACGCUGAGGUGCGAAAGCGUGGGGAGCAAACAGG
rnacentral:rRNA from 1 species